GCAGACUUAACGGCAAGUGCAUGCGUCUGCCUCUCAAAUACCCCGUGUUGCGGCUUUUUAACGCUGUGUGACGUACGCUAUUUUUAAAUAACUGUGAAUUUAAAUUUUUGACUUUCUAGAGAUGCCUUUUGCCUGUUUACGAGCUCAACACAGAAUGCGUCCCGAAAUUUCUGUGAUGAUGCGUCCUAUCUACAACAAUUUGAUAGAUCACGAAUCGGUUCUUAACUUUGAAAAAAUAAAAGGAAUCAGCAAGAAUAUAUUCUUUAUAGAUCACCAAGCAAAUGAGGUAAUUAUUUCUCACAAAAUUUUAAAAAUUUG
rnacentral:lncRNA from 1 species